UCUCUUUGAAGCUUUAAAAAAAAAAUUUUCUCGUUGAGGAAUAAACUAUGAAGAGGGCUUCUAUUAUUUCCCUGUGGGUGAAACUGACAGAGGCAAUGGUUCACUAACUUUCCCUGGUGUUGCAUCGUUUGCAGCAAGUAAGGUGCAGCCCAUGGUGUCUGAAGUGGAGGUGCUUUCCGGGCAGGAAGUGGACACAUGAUAUGGCUCCUUAAGCGAGACUGUCCUAGACACCUAAUCUAAAGCAAAUAAUGUUUCAGUAUCCUCAGGUAGAGAGCCUACAUUCCUAAAAGCUUUCUUGGGCAAGAAAGGGGUCAGCAAAAAUAGCCAAAAUAAAGCAGCAAACCAGAUAAGACUAUCUCAUGACAGACCUAAGAACUGCUUGGCAGCGAUAGUCAAUCUCGGGAAAUGUUUGGUGAACACAGGCACCUUAAAAGGAAGCAGGGGUGCUCCUGAGGGUAUUGGUCUCAUGGAAACAAAAUAUUGAUCAGGGAGGGCCAUAGUUGUGAUUUCCACCCACAAUCAAGCAUGACAAUAACAAAGGAAGGAGACAAAAGCCCACGGCCGGCCUCAAUGUCAUGGUGCCAUUGAGACAAGACAUGGAAUCUCAAUAUGUUCU
rnacentral:lncRNA from 1 species